rnacentral:rRNA from 1 species
UCCGCUGACGAGUGGCGAACGGGUGAGUAAUAUAUCGGAACGUGCCCUAGAGUGGGGGAUAACGUAGCGAAAGUUACGCUAAUACCGCAUACGAUCUACGGAUGAAAGUGGGGGAUCGCAAGACCUCAUGCUCAUGGAGCGGCCGAUAUCUGAUUAGCUAGUUGGUAGGGUAAAAGCCUACCAAGGCUUCGAUCAGUAGCUGGUCUGAGAGGACGACCAGCCACACUGGGACUGAGACACGGCCCAGACUCCUACGGGAGGCAGCAGUGGGGAAUUUUGGACAAUGGGGGCAACCCUGAUCCAGCAAUGCCGCGUGAGUGAAGAAGGCCUUCGGGUUGUAAAGCUCUUUUGUCAGGGAAGAAACGGUGGGAGCUAAUAUCUUCUGCUAAUGACGGUACCUGAAGAAUAAGCACCGGCUAACUACGUGCCAGCAGCCGCGGUAAUACGUAGGGUGCAAGCGUUAAUCGGAAUUACUGGGCGUAAAGCGCGCGCAGGCGGUUGUGCAAGACAGAUGUGAAAUCCCUGGGCUCAACCUAGGAAUUGCAUUUGUGACUGCACGGCUAGAGUGUGUCAGAGGGGGGUAGAAUUCCACGUGUAGCAGUGAAAUGCGUAGAUAUGUGGAGGAAUACCGAUGGCGAAGGCAGCCCCCUGGGAU